AUAAGCGGAGGAAAGAAACUAACAAGGAUUCCCUUAGUAACUGCGAGUGAAGYGGGAAAAGCUCAAAUUUGAAAUCUGGCAGUCUUUUUUUCUCUUCUUUGGCUGUCUGAGUUGUAAUCUAGAGAAGUGCUUACCUGUGCUGGACCAUGUAUAAGUCUCCUGGAAUGGAGCGUCACAGAGGGUGAGAAUCCCGUCUUUGACAUGGACUGCCAGUAUGUUGUGGKGUGCUCUCAAAGAGUCGAGUUGUUUGGGAAUGCAGCUCUAAAUGGGUGGUAAACUCCAUCUAAAGCUAAAUAUUGGCGAGAGACCGAUAGCGAACAAGUACCGUGAGGGAAAGAUGAAAAGGACUUUGGAAAGAGAGUUAAACAGUAUGUGAAAUUGUUGAAAGGGAAACGCUUGAAGUCAGUUAUGUUGGCUGGGGAUCAGCCUGGCUUUUUGCUGGGUGAACUUCCUAGUCUGACAGGCCAACAUCAGUUCUGACUGCUGGAAAAGAGCA
rnacentral:rRNA from 1 species